rnacentral:misc_RNA from 1 species
GAUGAAGAACGUAGCGAAAUGCGAUAAGUAAUGUGAAUUGCAGAAUUCAGUUAAUCAUCGAAUCUUUGAACGCACAUUGCGCCCGCUAGUAUUCUGGCGGGCAUGCCUGUCCGAGCGUCAUUUCAACCCUCAAGCCCCCGGGCUUGGUGUUGGGGAUCGGCGAGCCUCCGCGCCCGCCGUCCCCUAAAUCUAGUGGCGGUCUCGCUGUAGCUUCCUCUGCGUAGUAGCACACCUCGCACUGGGAAACAGCGCGGCCACGCCGUUAAACCCCCAACUUCUGAACGUUUGACCUCGGAUCAGGUAGGAAUACCCGCUGAACUUAAGCAUAUCAAUAAGCGGAGGA